rnacentral:misc_RNA from 1 species
CACCUUCGUAGCAAGUAGCAAGAAUUUUCCAAGAAACAAAAUAUAAAUAGCUAAUCCAUGACACCAUAUUACCAAUAUCUAAAAGUACAUUUUCGAUAAAACGGUAUACUAUCUUCAAUCAAGGUAUCUGUUAUUUACUGCGUUAAGGGAAAAGACACGCACACACCCACUCAGAGAACGAUCAUGGCGGAUGUACUCAAUUUUAAGGAAAAGAGAUGGUCCCUCAAGGGAAUGACAGCUCUGGUUACUGAAGGCUCCAGAGGCAUUGGGCAUGCUAUAGUAGAAGAAUUAGCAGGAUUUGAGGUUGCAGUGCACACAUGUUCACGCAACCAAACGGAGCUUGAUCAGUGUUUGCAAGAAUGGAAAAACAAAGGUUUCAAAGUAACUGGGUCUGUAUGCGACGUGUCUCAUCGAGACCAAAGGGAAAAACUCAUGGAAACUGUCUCCUCCAUCUUUCAUGGAAAGCUCAACAUUCUUGUAAGCUUAAGUAAAUCUACCUUUAAAUCUUAUAGAAAUUAAAGAGUCUAGAAUUUAUCAAUGGAAGAACAUAAAGUACCAGAAGCUUUUAUUUUCAUUUUUUCUUAAAUUGCUUUUGAUUCUUAAACUUGAGAGAGAGUUUAAAAGCUAGAAUUCUGGUUUUAUAGGUGAAUAACGCUGCAAAAGGGAUGCCCAAAGCUGCUGUAGAGUAUACUGCUGAAGACAUCUCCAGGAUAAUGAGCACCAAUUUUGAGUCAGUUUUUCAUUUUUGUCAACUUUCAUAUCCUCUCUUUAAGGCAUCUGGAUAUGGAAGGAUUGUAAAUAUUUCCUCCAAUUCCAGCGUGGUGGCUCUCCCUUCUAUCUCUGCCUAUGAAGCCUCUAAAGGUGCAGUAAAUCAAAUCACAAAGAACUUGGCAUGUGAGUGGGCUAAGGACAACAUUCUCGUUAAUGCAAUUUCUCCAGGGCUAAUCAGAACUUCUCUCAUUGAAUCUGGAAAGCAGGAUUAUCCUGAAAUUGCAAAAUUUUUUAAUAGAUAUAUAAGUCAAACUCCAAUUUCUCGGAUUGGAGAGCCCUACGAGAUUGCAUCAAUGGUGGCAUUCCUUUGCUUUCCUACUGCUUCAUUUAUCACCGGUCAGGUCAUUGUUGUUGAUGGAGGAUUCACCAUCAAUGGUUUCUGCCAGCCAAACAAUAACUAAACCUCUAUUUUCUAAUCAAGAUCUACCUAUAAAGAUAUAUAAAUAAGGUUUAAGGUCCAUGAGAAACCAAGAUUAUUUACAAAUGUCUUCAUUUUGCUGUCGCUGUUGUUGAUUUCUUUGUUGUAAUAAACAAAAG